rnacentral:lncRNA from 1 species
AACACUCCUUUGUCGUAGUAGAAUAGAACACUUUUAUGCCAUAAUAGAAUAGUUGUAAAGGUUAAUAGAACACUCUUAAUAGCUUUAUGGUUGUCAACACUCUUUUGUCAUAGUAGAAUAGAACACUUUUAUGUCAUAAUAGAAUAGUUAUAAAGGUUAAUAUAACACUCUUAAUAGUUUUAUGAUUGUCAACACUCUUUUGUCAUAAUAGAAUACUCUUAGAGCUUAAUAGAAUAGUUUUAUCAAGUUUACAGUUG